rnacentral:rRNA from 1 species
GUGUCAGCCGCCGCGGUAAUACGUAUGGGGCAAGCGUUGUUCGGAUUCACUGGGCGUAAAGGGCGUGUAGGCGGUGAGGUAAGUCGGAUGUGAAAUCUCUGGGCUCAACCCGGAAAUUGCAUUCGAUACUGCCUCGCUAGAGUACCGGAGAGGGAGACGGAAUUCCUGGUGUAGGGGUGAAAUCUGUAGAUAUCAGGAGGAACACCAGUGGCGAAGGCGGUCUCCUGGCCGGAUACUGACGCUGAGGCGCGAAAGCUAGGGGAGCAAACAGGAUUAGAUACCCUGGUAGUCCUAGCUGUAAACGUUGUGCACUAGGUGUGAGUGGCUUGUCCACUCGUGCCGAAGCUAACGCAUUAAGUGCCCCGCCUGGGGAGUACGGUCGCAAGGCUGAAACUUAAAUGAAUUGACGGGG